rnacentral:rRNA from 1 species
CCUGACGGAGCAAUGCCGCGUGGAGGAUGAAGGCCCGUGGGUCGUAAACUCCUUUUCUCAGAGAAGAAGUUCUGACGGUAUCUGAGGAAUAAGCAUCGGCUAACUCUGUGCCAGCAGCCGCGGUAAUACAGAGGAUGCAAGCGUUAUCCGGAAUGAUUGGGCGUAAAGCGUUUGUAGGUGGUUUAUUAAGUCUUCUGUCAAAGCUCAGGGCUUAACCCUGUUUAGGCCGUAGAAACUAAUAGGCUAGAGUACGGUGGGGGCAGAGGGAAUUCCCGGUGUAGCGGUGAAAUGCGCAGAUAUCGGGAAGAACACCGAUGGCGAAAGCACUCUGCUGGGCCGAAACUGACACUGAGAGACGAAAGCUAGGGGAGCGAAUGGGAUUAGAUACCCCAGUAGUCCUAGCCGUAAACGAUGGAUACUUAAUGGUGGAAGGCGAUAUUCCCCUCGGGGAGUGUUAAAUUUCACCAUUGUAGCUAACGCGAUAAGUAUCCCGCCUGGGGAGUAUGCUCGCAAGAGUGAAACUCAAAGGAAUUGACGG